rnacentral:rRNA from 1 species
GACGAACGCUGGCGGCGUGCUUAACACAUGCAAGUCGAACGGAAAGGCCCUGCUUUUGUGGGGUGCUCGAGUGGCGAACGGGUGAGUAACACGUGAGUAACCUGCCCUUGACUUUGGGAUAACUUCAGGAAACUGGGGCUAAUACCGGAUAGGAGCUCCUGCUGCAUGGUGGGGGUUGGAAAGUUUCGGCGGUUGGGGAUGGACUCGCGGCUUAUCAGCUUGUUGGUGGGGUAGUGGCUUACCAAGGCUUUGACGGGUAGCCGGCCUGCGAGGGUGACCGGCCACAUUGGGACUGAGAUACGGCCCAGACUCCUACGGGAGGCAGCAGUGGGGAAUAUUGCACAAUGGGCGGAAGCCUGAUGCAGCAACGCCGCGUGCGGGAUGACGGCCUUCGGGUUGUAAACAGCUUUCGCCUGUGACGAAGAGUGAGUGACGGGAAUGGGUAAAGAAGCACCGGCUAACUACGU